rfam:Alligator mississippiensis ScZkoYb_24, whole genome shotgun sequence.
GGCACUGUGGUUGAGUCGGUUAAAGCACCUGUCUAGUAAACUGGGGAUCCUACGUUCAAAUCCCAGCAGUGUCU